UCCGGCGUAGCUCAAUGGUAGAGCGUCUCGCUGUUAACGAGAAUGUUGUAGGUUCGAGUCCUACCGCCGGAGC
rnacentral:tRNA from 1 species